UACGGGGGGGGCAAGCGUUGUUCGGAAUUACUGGGCGUAAAGGGCUCGUAGGUGGCCAACUAAGUCAGACGUGAAAUCCCUCGGCUUAACCGGGGAACUGCGUCUGAUACUGGAUGGCUUGAGUUUGGGAGAGGGACGCGGAAUUCCAGGUGUAGCGGUGAAAUGCGUAGAUAUCUGGAGGAACACCGGUGGCGAAGGCGGCAUCCUGGACCAACACUGACGCUGAGGAGCGAAAGCCAGGGGAGCGAACGGG
rnacentral:rRNA from 1 species